rnacentral:misc_RNA from 1 species
UGGAAAUAUGGGAAACUGUUGGCUUAUGGCAUUACCCUAUUCCUGGAUUUUAUCUACUUGCACAGUUUUGUCUUGGUGUCCUUGUGGCCUUGGGCAAUCUUGUGAACAACUCUGUCUUCCUAUAUUUGUCUGACAUGGAUAGACAAUCUUCUAGUGAAGAUUUCACAGUAGAAGAAAGUGAAGAAACUAAAGUAUUGAUUGUAGCUACAAUAUCAUGGGGAUUGCGUAAAA